UUAAUGGAGAGUUUGAUCCUGGCUCAGAGUUAACGCUGGCAGCGUGCAUAACACAUGCAAGUCGAACGGGGAUUAUUCGAUGUAGCAAUACAUUGAAUGAUUCUAGUGGCAGACGAGUGAGUAAUACAUAAGAAAUCUACCCGAAAGUGGGGAAUAACGGGCCGAAAGGUUCGCUAAUACCCCAUAAUAUUUGAAAGCGGCAUCGCUUUCUUCUUAAAGGUUUUUCGCUUUCGGACGAUCUUAUGGUCUAUCAGCUAGUUGGUAGGGUAACGGCCUACCAAGGCGACGACGGAUAGCCGGCCUGAAAGGGCGACCGGCCACGGGGGCACUGAGAUACGGGCCCCACUCCUACGGGAGGCAGCAGUGGGGAAUUUUGGACAAUGGACGAAAGUCUGAUCCAGCAACGCUGCGUGAAGGACGAAGGUUCUCGGAUUGUAAACUUCUUUUGCAGGGGAAGAAACAAAUGACGGUACCCUGUGAAUAAGCCACGGCUAACUACGUGCCAGCAGCCGCGGUAAGACGUAGGUGGCAAGCGUUACUCGGAAUUACUAGGCGUAAAGCGCGCGUAGGCGGAAUUUUAAGUCUGUUGUGUAAUCUCUGGGCUCAACCCAGAAACUGCAACAGAAACUGAAUUUCUUGAGUGAGGCAGAGGAAGACGGAAUUCCUGGUGUAGCAGUGAAAUGCGUAGAUAUCAGGAGGAACACCGGUGGCGAAGGCGGUCUUCUGGGCCUUUACUGACGCUCAAGCACGAAAGCUAGGGG
rnacentral:rRNA from 1 species